GCGGGAAUAGCUCAGUUGGUAGAGCACGACCUUGCCAAGGUCGGGGUCGCGACGAGUUCGAGUCUUCCCAAA
rnacentral:tRNA from 1 species